GAUGAACGCUGGCGGCGUGCCUAAUACAUGCAAGUCGAGCGAACAGAUGAGGAGCUUGCUCCUCUGACGUUAGCGGCGGACGGGUGAGUAACACGUGGAUAACCUACCUAUAAGACUGGGAUAACUUCGGGAAACCGGAGCUAAUACCGGAUAAUAUAUUGAACCGCAUGGUUCAAUAGUGAAAGACGGUUUUGCUGUCACUUAUAGAUGGAUCCGCGCCGCAUUAGCUAGUUGGUAAGGUAACGGCUUACCAAGGCAACGAUGCGUAGCCGACCUGAGAGGGUGAUCGGCCACACUGGAACUGAGACACGGUCCAGACUCCUACGGGAGGCAGCAGUAGGGAAUCUUCCGCAAUGGGCGAAAGCCUGACGGAGCAACGCCGCGUGAGUGAUGAAGGUCUUCGGAUCGUAAAACUCUGUUAUGAGGGAAGAACAAAUGUGUAAGUAACUAUGCACGUCUUGACGGUACCGAAUCAGAAAGCCACGGCUAACUACGU
rnacentral:rRNA from 1 species